AUUGAACGCUGGCGGCAUGCUUUACACAUGCAAGUCGAACGGUAACAGGCCGCAAGGUGCUGACGAGUGGCGAACGGGUGAGUAAUGCAUCGGAACGUGCCCAGUCGUGGGGGAUAACGCAGCGAAAGCUGCGCUAAUACCGCAUACGAUCUAUGGAUGAAAGCGGGGGACCGUAAGGCCUCGCGCGAUUGGAGCGGCCGAUGUCAGGUUAGGUAGUUGGUGGGGUAAAGGCUCACCAAGCCAACGAUCUGUAGCUGGUCUGAGAGGACGACCAGCCAAACUGGGACUGAGACACGGCCCAGACUCCUACGGGAGGCAGCAGUGGGGAAUUUUGGACAAUGGGCGCAAGCCUGAUCCAGCAAUGCCGCGUGCAGGAAGAAGGCCUUCGGGUUGUAAACUGCUUUUGUACGGAACGAAACGGUCCUGGUUAAUACCUGGGGCUAAUGACGGUACCGUAAGAAUAAGCACCGGCUAACUACGUGCCAGCCGCCGCGGUAAGAC
rnacentral:rRNA from 1 species